UUCCGGUAUUCAGACGCCGGUUGUCAACAAGCAGAUAUCGUGGCUCUCUCUUUUACACUUGUUUUCUUCAAGAUUAACCUCGUCUGACAGUGAACGAUUUUAAAUGUACAACACCAGCUACAUUGACAAAUACGAAGGAACUACAAGUAACCCUGCACCUUAUGAAUGAAGUGAACGUGCUGGGUUGUAGUGCUCAAUAAGUUCACUCGCUUUGUAGGAAUGUGCUUGCUGUGAUGGUGGUCAUUUUAAUAAAGACAGCAAAAAGAAGCUAGAAAGACACAUCCCCCCUCAUGUGAUGUCAUUUUAAAGCCCCUGUUGUCCACUUUAAGAAUCAACAGAACUAAAUAUACAUGUAUAGUAUGAGAGAUAUUAGCAAAAACAUAAUAUCCACUACAGUGGACAAAAAUGAAUUGCUGGGUCUCAGGAGGGUAAGCAGGUGAACUGGUAACAAGGGGGAAAUAAAAGGUAAAAAAAUAAAAGUCUU